AACUUAAAGUGCUGCAGAGAUGAAACGUAAACCAGGAAGAAACAUGCCAUCGGUAUACUUCAUGGGAACACAUGUACCAUGUGAAGAGACAUGACAAAAACAGCCCUCCUUAAAUUACUUUUGGCCAUAAUGAUCAUGUUCAUUUUAAUUUUGCCAGAAUAUUUCAAGGCACCAAAAGGAAACAUGUUGGAACUAUCAUGUCUGAAAGUAUAUUUACAACAGAAUUUCAGCUAUUCAUUCUUCUCUACAAAUGCUUCUUUUGUGACCUUUCUGCAACCAAUAAGAGAAACUCAGACUAUUACGGGAAUCUUUCUAAAUCACUCCAACUUUCAAAACUUCACCAGGAUUUGCCAAGAUAUCACAAGUGAACUCAAGACAUGCUUCUCAUGUAUGGCUUGUGAGUCCAAAGGAAACACUGAUUUUAUUUUUCAGGAACAACCAUCAAAAGUUCUUAUCAUGAGAGGAUCAAUGGAAGUGAAGUCAAAUAAUUUUCACUCACCUUGUCAACAUUUUAACUUCACUGUAACUCCUACAGUUGACCUGGAGGAAUAUAAUCUUACCUGUAAUCUAAAAACCCACACUGGAAGGUCAGCAAUCAAGGAGGAAGAUCCCACUGAGGCAACAUCUGUAAACCGUACUUGUAGAAUUAUGGAACACCCACAUAAUUGUAUAAACAUUUCUUUCCAUUUAGAAAUGGAUGCAAAAAAUUCUAUCUGUUCCAUGAAGAUCACUUGGUAUGUUCUAGUUCUAUUAGUUUUUAUAGUUUUGCUCAUCUUCAUUAUCAACAAAAUACUUGAAGGCCACAGAAGAGUGCAGAAGUGGCAGAUAGGUCAUAAAUACGAACCUACAUCUGCCCUCUUACGAGGAAGUGAUUCUGAGAAACUACGAACAUUGAACGUGCGGGUUAUUUCAGCUUAUAUUCAGGUGGAAAAGCUAAUUAAAGUUACCCUGAGAUACCACUUCACUUUCAUCUAUCAGACUGACAAAAAUCCAGAAGUAGACAUCAUACUCUAUGGCAAAGGGCAAGAGGUACUCAUAUUUCACUAAGCAGAGACCACAAAGAGGCUGCCGAUGACUCCAGUCAAGGACGUGCUUCCUCCAAUACCAGAACUAGAAGUUACUUCCGCGGUGCAUCAGCAAGAUCAACAUACACGACUAUCCUUAUGAACUCCUCUGGGCAAUUUGGACUGAACCCUUCUGAAGAGUACUCGUAACUCUAUUCUGGGAAUGAGUUAACUGGUGAGUCAGGCUCAGAUCUGGAAUACUUCAGCAGGAAUUUAGGGGUGUCACACUCUCUGAGACUGGUUCUGUUCACCAUACUAUCCCUGGCAGCUGGUAGAACGCUCGGCUCACAAAGAAACAGGAAAUCAUCUCCAUUCCCCACCCUAUUUUGGCAAACAGACAAAGUAUCGAUGCCCUAGCAGUGACUGACCAGCUGCUGCCUUCGCAGCAAUCCAGAUGGAGAUGACCAGUCAAGUGACAGACUUGUUACUUUCAGCAAGCAAGCCUGUUAUUUCACACAUAACUUCCUUUGAGUAAAUAGAUCUUGCAGUCUGAAGGAGGGAGGCCCACAUGAACCGACAACAGCCACACCAAGUGUGAACGCAGUAAUGGGAACUCCUCUUUUGCAACCGUCCUUCAGAAACUCUUAGAAAUCACCUGGAUAGAUGGCCAGGCAACCUCUGUGAAUCCAGAGACCGAUGUGAAAUUCCAAAAUGGUCACAGUGAAUGGAG